rnacentral:rRNA from 1 species
ACGUAGGGUGCGAGCGUUGUCCGGAUUCAUUGGGCGUAAAGGGCUAGUAGGCGGCUUAGCAAGUCGGGUGUGAAAACUUCAGGCUCAACCUGGAGCGGCCAUCCGUUACUGCUAUGGCUAGAGUCCGGUAGGGGACCACGGAAUUCCUGGUGUAGCGGUGGAAUGCGUAGAGAUCGGGAAGAACACCAAUGGCGAAGGCAGUCGGCUGGGCCGUUGCUGACACUGAGGCGCGACAGCGUGGGGAGCAAACAGGA